rnacentral:misc_RNA from 1 species
AAUUAAACAACAAUAUAUCCUUAGAAAUAACCCAAGCAACAUUCAAAGGAAGACUGCAAUAGAAAAAUUCACACUCAUGAACAUCAAGAGCUCUUACGGCAAGCAGAUGAUCAGCCACAACAUUAUUCCCACGACAAACAUACUAAUACUGCAGGAAGACAGCUGCAAAGAAACAGCUUUGACAUAGAGUUGAGACCACCGAACAAGCUUGUUCACUUAUUACUGAAAAUGGAACAAGCUAACAGACAACUUGAAUACCACGAAGAUUUUAAUUAAUAAGGUCGCUGCCCAACAAAGUUGCCAGGAGGGUCAUAGUUGCAUCCAAUGAAGGUUCCUCCAUUGUUGCACUUCACCUUAGCACAUCCUAGGCGAACCGAGUUGC